rnacentral:rRNA from 1 species
CCUACGGGAGGCAGCAGUAGGGAAUCUUUCACAAUGUGCGAAAGCCUGAUGGAGCAACGCCGCGUGCAGGAUGAAGGCCUUCGGGUUGUAAACUGCUUUUAUAAGCGAGAAAUAUGAUGGUACCUUAUGAAUAAGGAUCGGCUAACUACGUGCCAGCAGCCGCGGUCAUACGUAGGAUCCGAGCAUUAUCCGGAGUGACUGGGUGUAAAGAGUUGCGUAGGGGGCAUAAUAAGUAGCUAGUGAAAUCUGGUGGGUCAACCAUUCAGACUAUUCGCUAAACUGUUAAGCUCGAGACCGUUAGGGGUAACUGGAAUUUCUAGUGUAGGAGUGAAAUCCGUAGAUAUUAGAAGGAACACCAAUGGCGAAGGCAGCUUACUGGGACGGUUCUGACACUAAGGCACGAAAGCGUAGGGAGCAAACGGGAUUAGAUACCCGUGUAGUC